GAAUUAAGGGGGUUUGAAUUAUCUGCCGACUCAUUCAUUCAAACACUCAGUAGAACGAAACUUUUACAACGAGGUGCUACUGUGAUUGCGUGAAUGAUGCGGGAGAUAGUUUCAUCCUUCUCCUUCUGU
rnacentral:pre_miRNA from 1 species